UACGUAGGUGGCAAGCGUUAUCCGGAUUUACUGGGCGUAAAGAGCGCGUAGGCGGCUUUGUAAGUCGGAUGUAAAAUCUCCCGGCUCAACUGGGAGGGACCAUCCGAUACUGCUAGGCUAGAGUGCAGCAGAGGAAAGUGGAAUUCCCGGUGUAGUGGUGAAAUGCGUAGAUAUCGGGAGGAACACCAGUGGCGAAGGCGGCUUUCUGGGCUGUAACUGACGCUGAGGCGCGAAGGCGUGGGUAGCAAACAGGAUUAGAUACCCCCGUA
rnacentral:rRNA from 1 species